AUGUUGAGCGCCGCCACCACCGGUUCCACUGCUGCGGGCUUCCUCCCGGCCUCUCUUGCGGCUCUCCUCAACCUCCCGCUCGAUGCCGUCUCCGUUCCGGCUCCGAUCGGGACAAGGAGCAUCGGCUCCGUCUUCUCCACGCCGCCGGCGCCCUCGCUUGGGCGUGACCUCGUAGUCCACACCGCGGCGCCGCCGUCCGCUGCGGACUCCGCAGGCGUCGUCCCGCCGCUCCUGCCGCAAGCGGAUCACACCGCCCCGCUGGCGGGGUUGGCGGCGUCCGCCCCGGCCGUGGGCCUUGCGGCGUCCGAACCGGCCGCGAGCUUUGCAGCGCCCGCCCUGGCUGCGGUCCCGCCUCCUCCCGCAUCGGCUUCGGUGCCUCUGGCUGCCUCCAUGGUGUUUGCACCCCAGGCAGCCUCCUCGAUGGGAUCGUCUUCGCCGCCGCCGUUUCACUUCGGUCAUCUCGUCACCAUCAAGCUCUCCGCCGACAACUACAUCUUCUGGCGUGCGCAGGUUCUCCCGCUCUUGGGGAGUCACUACCUGCUAGGCUACGUCGACGGAUCGCUUCCCUGCCCACCCGCGCUGGUAGACAGCGUGCACGGUCCGGUCUACAAUCCGGCCCAUCGCGUCUGGACGGGGCAGGACCAGGCGAACCUCUCCUCCAUCCAGGGGUCGCUCUCGCCGGCUGUUGCCGGCCUUGUUGUCUUCGUGAAGACGUCUCAUGAGGCCUGGACCAUCCUUGAGCGCACCUUUGCAGCGCAGUCCCAGGCUCGUGUCUCUGCACUCCGUCGUCAGCUUGGAGAGUGUCAGAAGCUUGACUCCACUGCCACUGAGUUCUACAACAAGGUCAAGGGCCUCGCCGACACAUUGGCCUCCAUUGGACAGCCCCUCACCGACUCCGAGUUCAACUCGUUUAUUGUCAAUGGUCUUGAUGAGGAGUAUGAUGCCUUAGUCGAGAUCAUCAACGAGCGGGGCAACUCGACACCCAUGCUGGCACACGAGGUUUUCUCUCGGCUCCUUCUCACUGAGCAACGGGUCGAGACUCGCCGCACCAGGGGCACUGGCUCCCUCUCGGCCAACGCCGCCACCAAGGGUGGUCGCUCUUCUUCAUCACCCCGGUCUCCCUUGGGGCUGCCACCGUCGCCCGCCUCGGCCCCCCCACCUACUGCGACCUUACCGGGGGCUGGCGGUCCACGUGUGUGUCAGCUUUGUGGCCGCGAUGGGCACUGGGCCUCCAAGCCUACGGCUCUUCUCAAAAGCUUGCGCUUCCAAAGUAUUUCUCCUUAUGCCAUCAGGCCAGUAAAGGGCACGGCGUACUUUCCUUUCAAUCAUGGAAAGCCCAUCCAUGCACAUCAUUUCACACUGUUUAGCAUGCUCAGAGUUGAUAGCAUCUUGGACCUCCUGCGAGUAGGGCUGAGUGCAAAGACGGGGCGAGGGCCUCGCGCCGUUGAGGCAGCUGGGCUUUAUCGAGUAAUUCUUCAAUGUAUUGCGCACGGGACAGAUGACGGUUCGUCGUCCGGAGGUCGGAGUCGACUUCGAGUCGUGGCGGCCCACCUUCCGAUCCGUCACGGGGCCUCGUCCAGGAGUCGUGGCGGCCCACCUUCCGAUCCGUCACGGGGCCUCGUCCGGGGGUCGGGGUCGACUUCGAGUUGUCGCGACCCGCCUUCAGAUCCGUCAGGGCGGCGUCCGGUCGGCAUGACAGGCGGUGUUUCUUUGCACGGGAGCGAAGGGAGCGGAGGGAGCCGGGUGGUGGCGGCGGUGUGCGGGCGUCCGGAGGUUGGAGUCGACCUCGACUCGUGGCUGCCCGCCUUCAGAUCCGUCGCGGGGCCUCGUCCAGCGGUCGGAGUCGACUUCGCCUUCAAAUCCGUGUCCAUCGCAGCGGCGAUCCUGCACACUAGGCUCUCAUGUCGAGAGAAGCACAUGAGCUCGCGCGCGCGGAAGGUUGGUGCCCAGCAGGUCACAGGGAGGGCGCCAGGCGGCAACGGCGCCAGAUCGUUCAUAGAGUGGAGGACGUCACCACGAUGCAGCCAAGAUAGAAAGACGUGCGGAAGGGGUGCCAUUGAUGGGCGACGUACAGAUGUUGGCGCGCUCCCGGCUGCCGGUUGCUCCGAUCUAACAUGGGCCUCUCAGGGAGAUGAUGGCAAGUCCGACAGGAAGAUGAUGGUGGUUUGA
rnacentral:rRNA from 1 species